rnacentral:rRNA from 1 species
AAUGAACGCUGGCGGCGUGCCUAACACAUGCAAGUCGUACGGGUCAGUACUUUUAGUGCUGAUCAGUGGCGCACGGGUGAGUAACACGUGGAUAACCUACCCUAAAGAUUGGGAUAACGUACCGAAAGGUGCGCUAAUACCAAAUACCCCACGCUACCACAAGGUAGUGUGGAAAAGGAGGCCUCUGCUUGCAAGCUUCCGCUUUAGGAUGGGUCCGCGGCCUAUCAGGUAGUUGGUAGGGUAAUGGCCUACCAAGCCUACGACGGGUAGCUGGUCUGAGAGGACGAUCAGCCACAUUGGGACUGAGACACGGCCCAGACUCCUACGGGAGGCAGCAGUGGGGAAUAUUGGGCAAUGGGAGAAAUCCUGACCCAGCAACGCCGCGUGGAGGACGAAGGCCUUCGGGUUGUAAACUCCUGUCAGCAGGGAAAAAGGCCAUAAAAGCUAAUACCUUUUAUGGCUUGAUGGUACCUGCAGAGGAAGCACCGGCUAACUACGUGCCAGCAGCCGCGGUAAUACGUAGGGUGCAAGCGUUAUUCGGAAUCACUGGGCGUAAAGGG